AUUGAACGCUGGCGGCAGGCUUAACACAUGCAAGUCGAACGAUGAUUUCCCAGCUUGCUGGGAAUGAUUAGUGGCGGACGGGUGAGUAACAUUUAGGAAUCUGCCUAGUAGUGGGGGAUAGCUCGGGGAAACUCGAAUUAAUACCGCAUACGACCUACGGGUGAAAGGGGGCGCAAGCUCUUACUAUUAGAUGAUCCUAAAUCAGAUUAGCUAGUUGGUGGGGUAAAGGCCCACCAAGGCGACGAUCUGUAACUGGUCUGAGAGGAUGAUCAGUCACACCGGAACUGAGACACGGUCCGGACUCCUACGGGAGGCAGCAGUGGGGAAUAUUGGACAAUGGGGGCAACCCUGAUCCAGCCAUGCCGCGUGUGUGAAGAAGGCCUUUUGGUUGUAAAGCACUUUAAGCAGGGAGGAGAGGCUAAUGGUUAAUACCCAUUAGAUUAGACGUUACCUGCAGAAUAAGCACCGGCUAACUCUGUGCCAGCCGCCGCAGUAAAAC
rnacentral:rRNA from 1 species